UACAGAGGUCCCAAGCGUUGUCCGGAAUCAUUGGGCGUAAAGCGCGUGUAGGCGGUUCGGUAAGUCUGCUGUGAAAGUCCAGGGCUCAACCCUGGGAUGCCGGUGGAUACUGUCGGACUAGAGUACGGAAGAGGCGAGUGGAAUUCCCGGUGUAGCGGUGAAAUGCGCAGAUAUCGGGAGGAACACCAAUUGCGAAGGCAGCUCGCUGGGACGUCACUGACGCUGAGACGCGAAAGCGUGGGGAGCAAACAGG
rnacentral:rRNA from 1 species